GGAGGAGUGCCUUCGGGAGCCGUAACACAGGUGCUGCAUGGCUGUCGUCAGCUCGUGUCGUGAGAUGUUGGGUUAAGUCCCGCAACGAGCGCAACCCUUGUCAUUAGUUGCCAUCAUUAAGUUGGGCACUCUAAUGAGACUGCCGGUGACAAGCCGGAGGAAGGUGGGGAUGACGUCAAGUCCUCAUGGCCCUUAUGACCAGGGCUUCACACGUCAUACAAUGGUCGGUACAGAGGGUAGCCAAGCCGCGAGGUGGAGCCAAUCUCACAAAACCGAUCGUAGUCCGGAUUGCACUCUGCAACUCGAGUGCAUGAAGUCGGAAUCGCUAGUAAUCGCAGGUCAGCAUACUGCGGUGAAUACGUUCCCGGG
rnacentral:rRNA from 1 species